rnacentral:rRNA from 1 species
AUUUACUUAAAAUUUAAAGAAUUUGGCGGUAGUUUAGUCAGUUAGAGGAACCUGUUUUAAGAAUUAAAUCGAUAAACCACGUAGAAUCUUACUUAUUUUAGUUAUAAUUAGUUUGUAUACCAUCAUUAUUAGAUAAUUUUAUAAAGAUAGUAAUUAUUGAAGUGAAUUAUAUUAAAUAAAUUAGAUCAAGGUGCAGCUUAUAAAUAAGUUAAAAUGGGUUACAAUAAAUUUUAUUUAUUACGAAAUAAUUUAGUAAUAUAGAGAUUAAGAAGGAGGAUUUAAUUGUAAUAUAAAUUUAAUAAGUUUAUGUGAUAAAGGUUCUAAAUUAUGUACACAUCGCC